GAUGAACGCUGGCGGCGUGCCUAAUACAUGCAAGUCGAGCGAACAGACGAGGAGCUUGCUCCUCUGACGUUAGCGGCGGACGGGUGAGUAACACGUGGAUAACCUACCUAUAAGACUGGGAUAACUUCGGGAAACCGGAGCUAAUACCGGAUAAUAUAUUGAACCGCAUGGUUCAAUAGUGAAAGACGGUUUUGCUGUCACUUAUAGAUGGAUCCGCGCCGCAUUAGCUAGUUGGUAAGGUAACGGCUUACCAAGGCAACGAUGCGUAGCCGAUCUGAGAGGGUGAUCGGCCACACUGGAACUGAGACACGGUCCAGACUCCUACGGGAGGCAGCAGUAGGGAAUCUUCCGCAAUGGGCGAAAGCCUGACGGAGCAACGCCGCGUGAGUGAUGAAGGUCUUCGGAUCGUAAAGCUCUGUUAUUAGGGAAGAACAAAUGUGUAAGUAACUAUGCACGUCUUGACGGUACCUAAUCAGAAAGCCACGGCUAACUACGUG
rnacentral:rRNA from 1 species